AUUGAACGCUGGCGGCAGGCCUAACACAUGCAAGUCGAACGAGCGUAGGAGGGGUGAGUAAUGUAUGGGGUCUUCCCGUUACAGGGGGAUAACUAUUGGCCACGGUGGCGAAUACUGCUAACUUUCGUGUAACCCAUAUGGGAGUGGCUAGUAGGUAAGGUAAUGGCUUACCUAGGCGACGAUCCCGAGCUGGUCUGAGAGGCUGAGCAGCCAAACUGGGACGUAGAGACGGCCCAGCGUCCUACGGAGGAAGCAGUGGGGAAUAUUGCACAAUGGGCGCAAGCCUGAUGGAGCCAUGCCGCGUGGAUGAAGAAGGCCUUAGGGUUGUAAAGUACUUUAAGUCGGGAGGCGUUACCGACAGAAGAAGCACCGGCUAACUCCGUGCCAGCAGCCGCGGUAAUAC
rnacentral:rRNA from 1 species